UUAAAUGAAACCAAAGUAGAGGUUUAUCACUGUUAAUGAUAAAAAUGAAUUUAAUUCCAUUUAAA
rnacentral:tRNA from 1 species